UCCGUAGCGGUUGGAUGUGGUUCCUGUAACUACGCAUAUUUUUUGAUCGUGGAGACUGCGUACGCGUUUUUCUUUUACCUUCAUACUACUGGAAAAUGGCGUAUGGACAAAGCUGAAUGCAGUCCGGAGCCAUACAUUGAACUGAACUGAACUGAACUGAACUGAUGGCGUCAUCGUGCUCGUUUCGCGGUAACUUCGCAGCAAAAAGGGAUGAUUCUGCGGCAUCUCUUAUGCAUUUUCAAGCGUCAAGUUAGUCAUCUGAAGGCGACAAGAUAUAAAGGGCCGUUCUCUUAUCGCAGCUAGUGGUAGAAACAAUACAUCAUCAAUCCUGACAGCAAUGUAAAUGCGAACAGAAAAAUUUCUGUCGGACAUUACAUUACAUUACAAUGAGAAAACGCUAAUGAGAAAUGUCAUGCGAUAAAUGUCAGGUCUAAACUUAGCGUAAGACGGAAGAGGAUGUUUUUAAAAGUAAAAAAACGGGCGAUUUGCGUCAAUUAUAAAACAGGUCUCUACCGCUCAUUCCGACGUCUCUCCUCGUCCCCGCAUCGAUCGGAUCGGAUAAUUAUAACACUGCGGCCGGUGCUGCGGUUCGAAGGACGACGACGACGACGAGGAGCGGCCGAAGUGAGAAUUUCAAUCUCGCGCUCGCUGACGAAUUUCGGAUGCCCGAGGUGCCAGCAAUUUCCCUGACGACGGAUACAAUUUCCAGGUAAGCACUCACAUUGAAUAUCGUUUAUGUGGCGUUACGAAGAGAUUCCCCCCAGGGUUAUCUCAGAGAAACUGUUAACGAAGCCAGAGGAACCUGCCAGUAUUUACUACGAUACG